UACGUAGGGGGCAAGCGUUGUCCGGAUUUAUUGGGCGUAAAGAGCGUGUAGGCGGCCAGAUAGGUCCGUUGUGAAAACUGGAGGCUUAACCUCCAGCGGUCGAUGGAAACCAUCUGGCUAGAGUCCGGAAGAGGAGAGUGGAAUUCCUGGGUGUAGCGGUGAAAUGCGCAGAUAUCAGGAAGAACACCCGUGGCGAAGGCGGCUCUCUGGGACGGUACUGACGCUGAGACGCGAAAGCGUGGGGAGCGAACAGG
rnacentral:rRNA from 1 species